GACAGAGGAUGCAAGCGUUAUCCGGAAUGAUUGGGCGUAAAGCGUCUGUAGGUGGCUUUUUAAGUCCGCCGUCAAAUCCCAGGGCUCAACCCUGGACAGGCGGUGGAAACUACCAAGCUGGAGUACGGUAGGGGCAGAGGGAAUUUCCGGUGGAGCGGUGAAAUGCGUAGAGAUCGGAAAGAACACCAAUGGCGAAGGCACUCUACUGGGCCAUUACUGACACUAAGAGACGAAAGCUAGGGGAGCAAAUGGG
rnacentral:rRNA from 1 species